rnacentral:rRNA from 1 species
UACGUAGGGGGCAAGCGUUUGUCCGGAUUUAUUGGGCGUAAAGAGCUCGUAGGCGGUGUGUCACGUCGAUCGUGAAAACUUGGGGCUUAACCCUGAGCUUGCGGUCGAUACGGGCAUCACUGGAGUUCGGCAGGGGAGACUGGAAUUCCUGGUGUAGCGGUGAAAUGCGCAGAUAUCAGGAGGAACACCGGUGGCGAAGGCGGGUCUCUGGGCCGAUACUGACGCUGAGGAGCGAAAGCGUGGGGAGCGAACAGG